UGCCAGCCGCCGCGGUAAGACGGAGGAUGCAAGCGUUAUCCGGAUUUAUUGGGUUUAAAGGGUUCGUAGGCGGAAAAGUAAGUCAGUGGUGAAAGCCAGCAGCUCAACUGUAGAACUGCCAUUGAAACUAUUUUUCUUGAAUGUAUAUGAAGUAGGCGGAAUGCGUCAUGUAGCGGUGAAAUGCACAGAUAUGACGCAGAACACCGAUAGCGAAGGCAGCUUACUAAUGUACUAUUGACGCUGAUGAACGAAAGCGUGGGGAGCGAACAGGAUUAGAUA
rnacentral:rRNA from 1 species